GAGGGUAUAGCUCAAACGGUAGAGCGCAUGCUUAGCAUGCACGAGGUCUUGGGUUCAAUUCCCAGUAUCUCCU
rnacentral:tRNA from 1 species